rnacentral:rRNA from 1 species
GACGAACGCUGGCGGCGUGCUUAACACAUGCAAGUCGAACGGUGAAAGCGGAGCUUGCUCCGCUGGAUCAGUGGCGAACGGGUGAGUAACACGUGGGCAACCUGCACCUCACUUCGGGAUAACUCCGGGAAACCGGGGCUAAUACCGGAUAUGACCUCCUUGGGCAUCCUUGGAGGUGGAAAGUUUUUCGGUGUGGGAUGGGCCCGCGGCCUAUCAGCUUGUUGGUGAGGUAGUGGCUCACCAAGGCGACGACGGGUAGCCGGCCUGGGAGGGCGACCCGCCACGCUGGGACUGGGACACGGCCCAGACUCCUACGGGAGGCAGCAGUGGGGAAUAUUGCGCAAUGGGCGAAAGCCUGAUGCAGCGACGCCGUGUGAGGGAUGAAGGUCUUCGGAUUGUAAACCUCUUUCAGUAGGGACGAAGCGAAAGUGACGGUACCUAAAGAAGAAGCACCGGCUAACUACGUGCCAGCCGCCGCCGUAA